GCGGCCAUUUUGUGCCUGCCUCGGUCUGCGCGGCGGCGGUUGUGGGCGCUGCGGCUCGGCGGGGAAGAAGGUCUGCCGGUCUUUUUUUUUUAAUUAUUAUUAUUAUUAUUAAUUUUUUUUUCUGCGUAGGUCGCGUGUUCCGUCGUCAUGGGCCGUAAGAAGAAGAAGCAGCUGAAGCCUUGGUGCUGGUAUUGUAACAGGGAUUUUGAUGAUGAAAAAAUCCUUAUACAGCAUCAAAAAGCAAAGCACUUUAAAUGCCAUAUAUGUCAUAAGAAGUUGUAUACAGGACCUGGUUUAGCUAUACAUUGCAUGCAGGUACAUAAAGAAACAAUAGACGCUGUUCCAAAUGCUAUUCCUGGGAGAACAGAUAUUGAACUGGAAAUCUAUGGCAUGGAGGGCAUUCCAGAAAAAGACAUGGAGGAACGGAGGAGGUUACUUGAACAAAAAACUCAGGCAGAGAGCCAGAAGAAGAAGCAACAGGAUGAUUCUGAUGAAUACGAAGAUGAUGAAUCUGCAGCUUCCACUUCAUUUCAGCCCCAACAAGUUCAGCCACAGCAGGGGUACAUUCCCCCAAUGGCACAACCAGGUUUGCCUCCUGUGCCGGGUGCUCCAGGGAUGCCUCCUGGUAUACCACCAUUAAUGGCAGGUGUCCCACCUAUGAUGCCUGGAAUGCCUCCCGUUAUGCCUGGAAUGCCACCUGGAUUACAUCAACAAAGAAAAUACAUGCAGUCAUUUUGUGGUGGAAACAUGAUGAUGCCAAUGGGUGGAAUGAUGCCUCCUGGGCCAGGAAUACCACCUCUUAUGCCUGGUAUGCCACCAGGUAUGCCACCACCUGUUGGUCCUCGUCCUGGGAUGCCUCCUAUGACACAAGCACAGCCUGCUACAGCACCGGGCAUUCUUAACAGACCUCCAGCUCCUGCUGCAUCAGCACCCACCCCGCAGCCUCCAGUUACUAAACCACUCUUCCCAAGUGCAGGGCAGAUGGGGACACCUGUCACAAGCUCAAGUACAGCUUCCUCCAAUUCAGAAAGUCUGUCAGCGUCUUCUAACGCUCUGUUUCCUAGCACAGCACAAGCUGCAGCAGCUGUUCAAGGUCCGGUUGGUACUGAUUUCAAACCUUUGAAUUCUACAGCAGCAACAACAGAGCCCCCCAAACCUACAUUCCCUGCUUACACACAGUCUACAACCUCAACCACUAGCACCACAAACAGUACUGCAGCUAAACCAGCUACAUCUAUAACAAGUAAGCCUGCUACCCUUACCACAACCAGUGCAACCAGUAAGUUGAUCCAUCCAGAUGAGGAUAUAUCACUGGAAGAGAGAAGGGCUCAGUUGCCCAAGUAUCAGCGUAAUCUUCCUCGUCCGGGACAAGCUUCCCUGGGUAAUCCACCUGUUGGACCAAUUGGAGGUAUGAUGCCACCACAGCCUGGAAUUCCUCCGCAGCAACAAGGAAUGAGGCCUCCAAUGCCACCACACGGUCAGUAUGGUGCUCAUCACCAGGGCAUGCCAGGCUACCUUCCUGGAGCAAUGCCUCCUUAUGGUCAGGGACCUCCGAUGGUGCCCCCGUACCAAAGUGGACCUCCUCGACCUCCAAUGGGAAUGAGACCUCCUGUCAUGUCGCAAGGUGGCCGCUACUGAUGCUACUACACACGCUCUAAUAGGUUUUUAGAAGUGAAGUAUAGUAAAUAUGGUUCGUUAAAUUGUGAAGGCGCUGGAAUUACAUGAACAUACCACCUUAAAGCCCUGCCAUAGGACAGGCUGAGGCAGAGUCUCAGUGUUGCCCUGUUCAGUCUGAGGCAAGUGGGAUUUAUUUUAUUCGUUCUGGGGGCUUUCACAGCUUUAUGGCUGUUGGAUAUUUAUGUCCCCAAACUUGCAGCAAGUUUGGUGAAGGCCCCUACUUUUAUUUUAAUUUAGGUUUUUAAUUCUCUUUUGGUAGAUGGGCUCUAUAUUAAUAUUAAUCUUUUUAUUAUCACUGUUUUUUUAAGAGUCUCGGGGAGGGAACGUGUUUUGAGAGGUUUGGGUACUGUUUCACUUAUGGUCAGGGAGUCCUUCAGCCACACUGUACCCCUGCCCCCUUCCCCUGUGUUUUAUUUGUGCUGUAUUUGUUCUGCUUUUGACAAUGUGACUUUUUAUACAUGCUGCUGGUUCAAAAACUACAGAUUAAUUACUAAUUUUUCUUCUGGGAAGAUGUAUUUAACAAAGUGCUUGAAAUACUUAGGCUUUAACUAAGAAGUGACAUCCCUUGUCACACAGACUUGCAGCCUAAAUUACAGUUGCUAUGGAGGAGGACGUUGACUGCUGUAUUUGUAAGCUGCCCCACAGCAAAUGUUGGUGUAGUGCCCUGUAAAGAACUAGAGAUUCCAGUCGAUGGAAGAAUGAGAAAAGAAAGCUGAAGUUCUUUCAGCUUGUCACUUUCAGGAAAACCUUUUCAUUGAUCACUUAAAUACACUGAACUUCACAGUAAUUUGUUGCAUCAGUGUACUGGGAAAAAAAUCAUCUUACUUUCUUGAAACCACGUGGGCUUGUUGCAUAUCCAAAAUUUGCUGAAGGUUAUGGCUAUCUGAAUUUACUACUUUUGCAGAAUAGCUGGCAAAAACUUCCAUCCUUUGUGAAGAAAAACUGGUGCUGCUCACUUGGAGUACGCUGAUUUUGAAUGCUUGAGGUGGCUUAAAGAGAGCUUCAGAAGAGCAAGUUUUGUCCAAGGAAGUUGUUAAUGUUCUUGUGGAGCACAAUCUAUAUUUCAUUUCUCCAGGAGUGGGAUCAGUAAUGACGCACUUGGAGAUUUUCAGUAAGUGGCAUUGAAGGAUAAGGAGUGGAUUUCUCAUGGGGGGCCCAAGUAGUCUCUGACUGGAAGUUGCCGUGUCCUCUGCUUACUGUUUCAGAGUAAUUGCUGAUUUCCUUACUGUGGUGCUACACUUAGUGCUUUAAGAUACACCAGCACAACUGGUCAUUAUUUCACUUAUUCAGUCUCUAGGAGCAUUUGGCUUAGUUCUUAUUUCCCCAGGGUAUCUAAAGAAGCCAUUUAACUAAGUGUUCAGCAUGACUUGUACUUCUUUAAGUAGCUGAAUCUCUGAAAGACUCCAGAUGGGGAAAAAAAAAAAAACAAAUUUUGGAUGGAUUGUGUUGAAUUUUGUCAUCAGUUUUCAUGUAAGAAUGAUGCAGCAUGGGGUAGUUUUUAAGCAGCUACUUGUAUUUAGCUUGUGUCACAAACAUGUAGCUGAAGUUCACACAAGUGCUUCAUUGUCUGUAAAUGAAGUGCCCUACUUAAAUCCACUUGGGCUACCUCAGUACAUUGAUAUUCUGGUGAGAGCUGAACAUUCAAACUUCCGUUUUUAUUGGAGCUAAGUAGGUUUACAUGUUCAUGGAAAGUAUGUGCCAGGGAUGCAGUUCCUGUCUCCCUUGUUGAUCUAGCUGUGUGUACUGGUACUUCAGGGCAGAUGAGCCAUUUCUUUGUAUUUUUUGCAUGAUUUCACACACCACGUGGCACUUCAUAGCAUCACAAUGCUAUGGAUUUUUUUUUUUUUUUUUCUUAAAGCUUUUGGAAAAUUUCAAGAAGAUGAAUUUCACACUGCUUCUGAAAGAUGCAUUUGACUCCAGGAUAAUUCCAUGUACUGCUAUUCCGUGACAAUACCUUAUGAACUGAGGCUUUUUGCUCUAGGUUUUUCCUGUUGUUCAAACAUUCUUUGCUUCUACCCUUUACAUCGCUGUCCUUUUCUGUAAGUCUCCAUGGAUUGGACAGGACCAACCUGUUCCCUGUUUGGGUGUUGGUGUUUUUAGCAGGCUAUAUCCGUGUUACUCUGACCUGUUACCACAGACUAAUGUUUGUGCUUAAAUUUACAGCAACUAAUGAUGUGCAUUUUCCGUUUGCUUUGUGCCUCGUCCUAAAAGGUAUGUGUGCAGAGUACUGCUGUCUUUCUAGUCCAAAGGAUGGCAUGCUGACAAGGUGCAAGUAUCUGCUCAGCCUUUAGAAUAGCUGCCCUGUCGUCUCUUUAAAACAACCUGAAAAGUUCCCAUAGAUGGCAAAGGGUUCACAUCUUGUUCUUUUGGUGCAUCUUUGUUGGUGACCUCCUUCAUGCCUUGUGGAUCUAAGGAGGGUAGUACCAAAAGAAACUUAGACUGUAAAUGGAAUUUAUUGAUUUGGAAGGUUGGCAGCAUUUUUACUGGCACUCCAGUGCGUGCUGUCAGUAUUGCAGCAGUGUCAUAAAGCUGUAUAAUGCUCUGUGGAAUUUCAUUUCUAAUGACUGUCAUAUUUUAGUGAGUUGACUUUCAUAGGCAGUAGUGGAGGCAGGUUUUGGAGAGCUUGGUUUUUAAGACUGUGGAGUGCUAUGUGACUCUUCUUAAACAUUAGGAAUGCCUGAAAUUCUGCUAAACUGAAUGAAUUUUAACCCACUGGUGCUGAGGAAUGAAGGAGAGACGUAGAAAAGUACGUAGCACAGCAGGAGUUUUGACUGGCUUUAGAAGUAUUCUGUGCCAUGCCUGAUAACUGCUAUGACCCGUAGUACUGUGAGGGCAGGCCAUCUCCUUUUAAAAGCUUACCUUUUAAAAGUACAUAUGUACCUGCAGUCAAGGCAGCAUUACCAGUGAAAUGCUGGCAGUUGCUUCAGAAAUGCAGUGAUAGCGACUGCUGCGAUUUUCAGUCAGAACUAAGUGAGGUAAACAGGAGUUUGGGAGUGAGAAGUCUCAGAGGCAGCCCUGCAGGGGAUGGAGUGAGUGUUCAUUGAGUGGCUGAAGUGUUAUGUAUGGAGCUGAUUUGUUUGGGAAGUUCUGGAAAAAACUUUCUGAUAAUUUUCUUGUAUUCUCCUUUAAACAGCAGCUUUAUGCAAUCUUUUGAUUAUCAGAGAAUGCAGAUUUUUAUUCAGGCUCUACUGGAAGAAAAUACAAUUCUAGUACAGAAUUCAGAGAUUCUGUUGUAUAGUGAAUGCUCUUUUGCUCCGUGGAAGGUCUUGGGAGGUGUGAGGGAGCCAGGCGCCUCGGCGUGCCGCCUCUGCAGCCAGCAGCAUCCCGUCCUGAGCUGUGUGCUCCUGGCUGGUUCCUUCACUCCUUUGCUCUCAGCGUCCUGAUGAGUCUGUGCUGGCUGUCGGUGAGGACUUACAUUUGUGCACCGGACCUCUGUUGUGAGUAAUAACACACCUUGUCCCUUCUGAACAAGUUUAUGCUGACUUGUUCUAUUGCUUUAGGCUCACCUGCAGUAGUACCAGGCAGCAGCACUGCCGCUUCAUAACGAUGAACUGAGCUUCUCUGCAGAUAAGUCCUGAGCAUACCUUAAUGCUCGUGUUUCUCAGAGAAGCUGAAACAUUCUGAGAAAACAGUAGAGAUUGAGUGCAAGCAGCAUGUUAACCACAAGCAGAUGAUCCACAUGUUGGCAUUACAGUGUGUUAGGUAACUACGUUGCAGCAGAUCCAGGUUUCUCAUGUCUCAAAUUUUAUCUUAAAUCUUCCCUACAUCUUAGCCAUGUUCCCAGGUUCUUUUCAAAGAGGGUAGGUGUUGAAUUUCAACUUCUGCUGCCUUAAGUAAUUGGUAUCUAUAAAUGGUUUUGGAUGGUAGCAACUUAGAAUUACCCAAAAACUAUGCCAUACAACUAUGGAAACUGUUUCAGUGUCCCAGCUUAGGGAAGUAUAUAAUGCUGUGAAAUAAAGAUGUCAUGCAAAGCUUCUUUCUCUUUGUCCCCCCAUUGUGUUGUAGAAGUGUGUGAUACAAGCAGGCACUGACUUCUUUAGCUUCUAGUGGAAGAAAAUACAUUUUGCUCUUUCAUUUGUAAAGUCUAGAAUAAGAAAACACUUUAUGAGAGUAUUUAAUGAAGGACCCUGGCAAUGUAAGUAUUGUGAUUUCCUUUCUAUUUGUGUUAGGCAGUGGGGUUACCUUGUUAAACUUCUGGCUUGUUAUCAAAAUAACAGAAACGUAAAGGCAAAUUGAAAGUGAUUUUGUAGUUGCCUUCGCUUCAUAUGCUUUUCAUAAGUGACAAAUUGUAGUAAUUGAAGUUUGGCAGCUUUUUUAAUUGAAAAACUAAAUUACAGGUUGAACUCCUUGGUUUAAUACAAUUUGUGUUUUUGUCAACUAGCAGCAGAAUUUCAGCAUUUGCUACUUACUGGUAGAGAAGAAAUAUCCUACAGCACUGCCAGUACAGGUUAGUUUAAUCUGUAAGUACCUGAUGUUCCUAUUUGAAAUAAUAUGUUCAAAUGAUACCUUUUAAAUACAAAGGGAAUUUUGAUCUCUGAAAUGUCACUGUAUCUUUGUUACCUACUGCUGUGCUCAGUAGUGAGUGAAUACCUAGAUAAUCUUUUGAAGGUCUCUAAUGAUUUUAACUGUGCUUGUGGAUUAGGUACUAUGUGCAAGCCAGGCUGCCUUUGGUGUUUUAAAGUCAGCCAGUUCUCCAUUCAUUGCCUAUUGCAGAAGGCAGUUUUAUCAGUGAGCCAAUUACAGGAUACUUGUGCUGGGGAAUAAGCAGUUCAGUUUGUAAGCAUUUGUAGCUGUACUGUAACCUUUCUUUAGUUGUUAUUAUUGUUGCUACCAAUAGAAUUUUGCUCUGUAUAGCUGGUAUGCCAGGAGCUGCUUGUUCUCUGACUUAUGGCCCACUUCUAGUUAAGCCUCAUAUGCUUCAUCUCCACACAUCAGUGUGGGAGAUGAAAAUCUUCUGUGCUGUGGCACAUAGGAUAGGUUCACUGCUGGAUAAGCUGUGAAACUCUGUGCCUUAACUUACACUUGCUAAGUGAAUUGUCACACAGUGAUUUUGAGGGGCUCUUGGAAACCAUUGGUGGAUAAUUACACAAGCAUGUAGCAGUGCAGAACCCAGACAGACGUUUCACUGGCUCACGUAAUGCUUUUCACUGGUUAAGAGUGAAGUGAUGCUUCAGCAGUAUUGCUUGUUUGGGGGUUUUGAACUUGUAUGUAAUGUUGCAGAUCUUAUCAAAGAAAGGUGAGGUUUCAAGGGGAUUCCCAGUGCUUGUAAUAGUUGGACACAGCCCAUCUCCCAGCAUCUUCUCUGUGUUGGUUUUCAGGCAUUCACACUGAAUUGCUUUGCAAAAGUAGUGAUGUGUAAACUUUAAUAAUUUUGCUUGGGUGUUUCUCCCUAGAGGAGAACAAGAGUUGUGUGAUAAAUUUUGUAGCUUAUCUUUGCCUCUGCCUCCUACAACUUCAUGGCAUGUUUAAUAGGAAUUCCUCGCUGUGAGGCUGUUAUCUUAACAGACCUCUUCCUUCUGCCUUGUGUAGUUGAUCCUCAUUUACUGAGCACUGUAAUAAUUAUUGUAAGAAUAAGUAACGGAUUGCUUUUGGCUGCUGGAUUACUAUUUGAAAACUCAGUUCUGCCCAUGGGUGAAUGCUGACCUGCACUACUUGUACCCCAGCUUGGCAAUUAAUGAGGUUCUUUACUGUUUCAUCAGCAAACUGUAUUUCUUUGGGAUAGAUCCUAGUGUGAACUAGCAGUAGGAUGUUAUCUUUCUGUGAAACUUCAUGGCAGUUGGAGUAUUUUUGGGUAGAAUUAAGUUUAUUUUCUUUUGAGAUGGGACAAAACAGGAGGAAUCUGAGCUUUCAUAUUCAAGUGGGCAGUCUUAAGACGUAGCUCACCUUCUGAUGCAGUUACAGCAGUUCUCCAGUCUGAUGCAGUUCUGAAGGAGUAAGUGGGGAACAGGGAGCCAGUUCACACUUUGAUUCAGGCUUCUGCUUAAUGACUUCAGGUUGCCCAUUUGGAGACUUUAGUUACUGUACAGCAAACUCAGACUCCUGUUUACCUUCCUCAGGUGAAGCACAUUGUUGAAAUGUGUCCCUCUCUGCAGUAGCCCAGCUACAGAUGCCAGUAUGUCAGGAAUGUUCUUGUAACUCGAUGCAGCUCUUGUGUAAGUGGUAUGAAGGGGAUGGGAUCAGUGAUCUUUGAUCAAGGGCAAAAUAUUGAUGUUGAAUUUGAUUUCAGAAGGAUUGGUAAGUAUGUGCAUUGCUUUAGUGCAUGCAAGCACCAAUAAUUGUAGCUUAAUUUUUAUAGCAUUCAGUUUACAAAGAAGAUUCAAAGAAAAUAUGGAGCAAACAUCAUUGGCAUCCCUUGGGAACCUUCUGUGAACUGUAUUUCAGGCAUAGAUAACUGCGCAUACGUAUGUAUGUAUACAAACUGCUUUGUAACAGUCUCUGAUUAAAUACAAGUAAAACGCUG